CUAACCUCCUCCCCUGGCUGUUCCUGAGGCUGACCUUUUCUGUGCCUACCGAGUCAUUCUGGAGUUCAAGAAGGGCCAGGAGUCCACCUUGUCCCCUGGGAGUCUGAGAGAGAUAAAGAUUUUUCCAAGCCACAAGCCACCCCCUUCUGAUCAUGUGCAAGCAGGAGGCCACCAACAGAAGGCCACAUCAUAAUAUCACUGCGAUGGAAGGAAAACAAGAAGUAGCAGCCAUGUCCAUCUAGUGGUGGUUCUCUCUCUGCCACCCCAACAAAACCUUCUGCUUUCAGAAGCGUAUUCUUAGCCAGAUCCCUUUAUUUUUCUUCACAGCUUUCAGUUCAGCUUGAAGUAGCCUCUUGUGAAGCUUCCAGUAUAUGUGCGAUUCAUGAGCCAGUCCCUCAACACGAACAGUCUUGCCAAGGCCUUGUCUCAGGAUCUCUUCAUUCAGGCAGACACUGGAAAAUCUACCCUGUUCAGAAAGGACAUUAGCAGCAUUACUGUGUGUCUUAUAUAAGAAUAAAAAACAACAGCAUUGGCAGUACUUUGUCAAGUUAAAAAAUAUUAAUAU